rnacentral:rRNA from 1 species
AGAGUUGAUUAUGGCUCAGGAUGAACGCUGGCGGCGUGCCUAACACAUGCAAGUCGAACGAGAGAGAUGGUGCUUGCACCGAUCAAUCGAGUGGCGGACGGGUGAGUAACGCGUGGGUAACCUGCCUCAUACAGGGGGAUAACAACUGGAAACGGUUGAUAAUACCGCAUAAGCGCACGGUAUCGCAUGAUACAGUGUGAAAAACUCCGGUGGUAUGAGAUGGACCCGCGUCUGAUUAGCUAGUUGGCGGGGUAACGGCCCACCAAGGCGACGAUCAGUAGCCGGCCUGAGAGGGUGAACGGCCACAUUGGGACUGAGACACGGCCCAAACUCCUACGGGAGGCAGCAGUGGGGAAUAUUGCACAAUGGGGGAAACCCUGAUGCCAGCGACGCCGCGUGAGCGAAGAAGUAUUUCGGUAUGUAAAGCUCUAUCAGCAGGGAAGAAAAUGACGGUACCUGACUAAGAAGCCCCGGCUAACUACGUGCCAGCCGCUGC